CUUAUCAGUACAUUCAAACCAAGUGGACAUCCCAGAAUAAGGUGGUGAUUCUAUAGUAACACAAAUUAAAUGUCUAUUCCCCAAAAUGUCUCAUUGGAGAGAACAAAUAAUACACCACAGAGUUAAUAGAUUUAAAAUCUUUAUGGUACUUUAGCUUCAUUAAAGAUAGCAGCUCAGGCAAAUUUAAAAUUAAUGGAUUCUAAUCUAGUCUGCCUAUUGUUAUUUUUGAAGUCUGUUACCGAAGAGAAAUUAUGCAAAUGGCUGUCAGGCUAUUGCUGCUGCACUCACACUAGGAAUGCAUUAUAAUUCCUUUCUUAGAGGAAACACUUAUCUGGAGCAGACCAGGCCCUCGGUUCAUUCGCAAGAGUCUGUCCCUUCCUUCAGAUGGUCCAUUUUGAGCUAAUAAGUACUGUCAGGGUUGAGGUGGAGAGGCGGGGCUGUGGGGAAGGAAAUUAGGAUAAAUUACUGGGGCACAGCGACUGAAAAGGCCUGGGGCAAAUCCCUGGUAAAGACAGUCUAGCCAGUCCUCCACUGCUGGGGCAUCUGGUAUUUUUUUUCGCUUGGGCCUGGGCAGGCUGUCGGUCACCUUCCAGACUGUAUAGCCUUUAACUCCUUGUUGCAAUGGAAUCCCGCUGGCCUUCUGAUUUGCCUUUUCCUGCAAAAAUCUGCCAAGGCAAUCUUUCUCAAAGAAAAUUUCCUGUGUGACUCCACUGUUUAAAAGCCUGGUGUGGCACCCUGUCACUUUUGAGGUAAAAUUCCAACCCUCAGGCUGCCUGAAAACUCUGCCCUCGACUGACUCUUGUAUACAAAUUUAACUUCAUCCGUUGAUUAUUUGUAUAAUUCUUCUACUGGAACCAGGCUGAUCUUUUUAAUAACCUGUUCAUUUAUUCAUUAAUUUAUUCUGCAAGUAAAUGGGAUAAGUUCAGUCCAACUGUAGGAGUAGCAAUUAUUAUGUGCAAAUACUGUAGGAAAUACAGGAAGAUAGAACACAUUAUCCCCAUUCUGAAGAUUCUUAUGACAGUAAAUGGAAACACAAAGGCCAUUAUUGACUAGUGGGAGUAAGAUCGCUGUCCUUUAAAUCACCUUCUUCAUAUUUGCAUUCUCUGUGUGCUGUUUCUUGGCUCUGGAUUUCUCUCCUGCCUCAUCUACACUAAUCCUUUUCACUUCUUCAUUCAAAACUGUACCUAGAUUUAUCUGCUCCAGGAAGCAUUCCCACUCAAGUCUUGGUCCUGGGUUGAACUGACUCCUCCUCAGAAUUGAUGGAUAUAGCUUAUCCAGUGUUA
rnacentral:lncRNA from 1 species